rnacentral:rRNA from 1 species
AGCGAACGUUUGCGGCGGGCCUAACACAUGCAAGUCGAACGCACUAGCAAUAGUGAGUGGCGCACGGGUGCGUAACACGUGGGUAAUCAACCCUUCAGCUUGGGAUAACGACUUGAAAGGGUCGCUAAUACCGGAUACGGCGCGGGAGGCUUCGGCUUCUCACGAGAAAGCCUCGCAAGGGGCACUGAAGGACGAGCCUGCGGCCCAUCAGCUAGUUGGUGAGGUAAGAGCUCACCAAGGCGAAGACGGGUAGCUGGUCUGAGAGGAUGAUCAGCCACACUGGAACUGAGACACGGUCCAGACUCCUACGGAGGCAGCAGUGGGAAUAUUGCGCAAUGGGCGAAAGCCUGACGCAGCCACGCCGCGUGAGCGAUGAAGGCC